rnacentral:lncRNA from 1 species
AAAAUUUUGAUUUUAUUAUCUAAUCUUUUAAUCUGCUUGAUUGAAGCAAUCAAUGAUAUUUUGACGUCAAACUUUGAAUGCGUCUUUGAUCUUUACAAGUUUAGUUAGUAUGCUUCAUACAAUACUCGCAACUAUCGAUUUAUUAAAGAAUACAAUUUGUUUAAACUUUGAAGUAAAAAUAUUGUUCACUGACUCAAAUCAAACAAAUUGAAAUGUUGGAUAGCAAAAUUAAAAUUUUGAAAGGUUGGGCGCAGUUAAUUCACAAUAGUCCAUAGUUCAAAUAAGUUCUCACGAAACUUCAAAGUUUGAAUGUAUCGUUUAUCUUUACCGUUUUAGUUAAUUAGUAUGCUUCAUACAAUUCUCACAACUAUCAAUUUAUUCAGAAAAAUAAUUUAUUUAAAAUUUGAAAUCAAAAUAUUGCCCACUCACUCAAAUCAAACAAAUCGAAAGGUUGCGCAGUAAAAUUAGAAUUUUGAAUGGUUGGAUAGCCGACUCAAAAUGAUCUACAGUUUUAAUAAGUUCUAUACUAUUUUUUUUAUAUGUACGUAUGCAUAUAUAAAUUAUAAGUUUUUUUAAAAAAUAUUAAAAAGGACGAUGGUACGUGUAUGUGCAUAUAUAUAUAUAUAGAGAGAGAGAGCCUGGCUACUAUACUCUUAUGUGUAUAGAUCUUUUUCUACUCAUAAAUUUUACUCCGUUAGAUCUCCCUCUUUGACCAUCUAUUUCCACCCGUUAAAUCAUAUUCCCGCUCAACCCUAAAAGAUCACUAUAAUCCUAAUCAGGAUCACUAUCAUCAUAAUCGCACAUUUCUUUAUCUAAUGAUUGAAAAUUUAUAAAUAUAAAAAGUUCUAUAUUUAUAAAAAUAUAGUAAUCGUAAUCUCUCUCUCUCUCUCUAUAUAUAUAUAUAGAAUUAUACUACUAUACUAUCAAUAGUACCAAGCCCUUGGUACUAUAUAUUGAGUUUUUGGCCGUUGGAUGAAAGAAUGUGCGGUUAAGAUGAUAGUCGUCCCCUAGGGUUGAGUGGGUGGUUGGUUUAAUAAUAUUAUCUAACGCGUGAAAAUGAUCAAAGGAUAGAUCUAACGGUAGAAAACUCAAUAGUAUCAAGAACUUGAUACUAUCAAUAGUAUAGUAGCCGGACUAUAUAUAUAUAUAUAUAUAUAUAUAUAUAUAUAUAUAUAUAUAUAUAUAUAUAUAUAUAUAUAUAUAUAUAUAUAUAUAUAUAUAUAUAUAUAUAUAUAUAUAUAAAUAAAAU